UACCUCUUCGUAUCUCUUCCUCAUCCAGCUAACGUCUGUCUGGCAAAUGAAGCUCUGUGCAUGCCCUUUUCUGGUGAUCUUGCAUCAGACCUGCCAGUGAUUUGCAUACUGCUACUACCGCUUGUGGAGCUUCAAACAACGAUUAUCUGUCGGGAGGACGUAUCGCUGACGGUACUGAGCAUGGCGGACAUAUACCCUCCGAAGGCUCCCUGUGGAGACUCAAUAUUCUCAGCCAAUAUACGGUAAGCCUUGUGCCCUGAGGAGGCGUGAUGAGAACCUCUCCCUAACAGCAGGAUGGAGCGUCACCUCGUCUUCCCCGUCUCUCCCUCGUCUCCCCAUGACUUACACUCUAACUGAGAAGACUGCAAGAUCUCAGCCUCCCUAACGAGUGAAGCAAGCAGGGCCCACAGAUGUGAAGCAGCUAGCUGUCUUUGACAAGUUUGAACCCUGCUAGCCACAGCACGAAAGGACUCCUGCAAUCUCUCCAAGUGACUGCCAGAUGAAUAGUCCCUUCUCUAUAGCCUUUGCAAAUCUCUCCUCACAUUCCCUCUUGCUCACUACUUAUCUACUGGCCCUCUCCCUUCACUUUUGUGAUCUAUUGCCCCUCAGCUGAGUAUAUAGAGGUUCUCCUCUCCUUCUUCCUAAAUUGUCUGUCCUAAGCUCCUUAUCAACCAAUAGAAACACAGGGGUUUGAUACCUACAAGAGCGCACCAAGAACACCUAUUUUUCUGCAUCAACUGAUGAUACUCAAGGGAGUGAUACUUGACUUUCACACCAGUGGAGGCUGCUGAGGGGAGGACGGCUCAUGAUAAUGGCUGGAAUGGAGUAAAUGGAAUGGUAUCAAACACCUGGAUUCCGCUAUAGCCAUUACGACAAACCCAUUUUUGUGUUACAAAGUGGGAAUAAAAUGGACAUAAUUGUACUUUUUUUUGUCAAUGAUUACAAAAAAUUCAUGUUAAACACUAUUUCUGCACACAGUGUCCACACAUUUUUACUUCCGAAUUGAUUUAGACCAUGACCAAAGGGUUGAAUACUUAUGGACCUAAGACAUUUCAGCUUUUCAUUUUUAAUUCAUUUGUAAAAAUUUAGAAAAACAUAAUUCCACAUUGACAUUAUGGGGAAUUGAGUGUGUUGUGGUCAGUGACAAAAAAAAAACUGAAUUGAAUCAAUUUUAAAUUCAGGCUGUAACACAACAAGAUAUAGGAAGGUGAAGGGGUGUGAAUACUUUCUGAAGGCACUGUACUUGGUCAUUGAUCUCAGUUAUGUUUAGUUUAUUGCAUCAUCAGGGGCACUGCCAUCAGGGACACCUCCAAGGACCCAGUACCGCCAAAUGGUGUAUUCUUCUGUUCUCUUUAGUACUUUACAUUCCUUUCAACUCUACUAAUUCACUUUGAAACCAUUAUCAUUUAACAAUCUAUAUCAUUAUGUUUCAGUGAGAAACUUUUUAGGCACAUGUUGCCUCAUCUUACCACUGGACACUCACCAGAGAGGGAGAGGGAGAGGGAGAGGGUGUGGACUUGCCUUAUAUCUUCCCUUAUUCCUCAUCUUUUCCCUCUCAUUAUCAAGUCCCUUUUUAUAAGAGGAGGAGAAGUCAGUUGAACAUUUUAUUCAAUGGUGAUGAGUCUGCCAAAGCUGGGCAAUUAGUCUCUCACUUCCUGCCAAUCAUUGGGCUCACCAGCAAGAGGGAAACUGUUUAACCUGCUCCAGUAUUAACUCCAGCCAGUUACAUCUUUGGAGUCGUUACUAAUUAAAAAUGGAGAUAAUAUAAAUCAGAGAUAAGAGUUGGAGCAUUGCAAAGGUCUAAAUCGGCUUCCUAUCAUAUAAUUGUUAUAAUGAUUAUGUUCUAUACUUUAUAUUACGAUCAAACUUGAAACUUAAAAAGUUGCCACAAAGACUGUCUCCAGCUGUUGUACUGUUAGAUUGUCGGAAUGUGCUAUCAAAUAUGGGCUUUUGGGCUGAGUGAUUUCUGAGUUCAAUGUGCUAUUGAUUCCAACAUAUUAAAACAUUGCAGAUACUAGGUGAUUACUAACUAAUUGAAAAACUAUUCAUGUCCCCCUUAUUGUCAAACUCAGCACAAAUGUGACUGUCUAGUAAAUUGUACAUUGUGUGGUACAGUAAGGUUGGCAAAAUUGUUUUAACAUCACUAUGCAGAAAUAAUGGAAUACAGGGAUGACAUUCCAAAUGUGACAUUAUGUUCAUUGUUUUCUACUGCAUUCUCCCUCAUGGGCAAACAAACACUUUCAAUUUAACAUGUCACUUAACUUUAGCUUCAUGUUUGGAAUUAAUGCCACAGCAUAAAACAAGGGUGUAUUUAACUGUGAAAUGAAUAUCACACAUUUCAUCGGCUAUGCAAGGUCUUUGCUUGCAUAGCCGAUACCACAGUAUGUGAUUGUAGACAGGGGGAGAUGAUGAAUAUGUCAAAUAUUUUUUAACAUUUGGCACGUAGAAGAUAAGGUUUAUCAUAUAAAAUAUGUUAGAAGAAAGUACCACGUUUUUUUUCCCCUUCUUGGUAAAACUUCAAGCAUUCUAAUCAUCUCAAAGAUGAAGGUCUCAUAAUCUGACCAAAAGGUACUGUUCGCUUCCUUUAAAAAAAUGAAUUACAGUUCUAAUUUGAGAAGUAGAGAAAGAGAAACCCCAAAUGAAUUCACAUCAUGUUAAUUAUGUUUACCUUAAUUUAGUGUCAUGCUGCUAGAACAUUUAUCAUGAUAGACAUUUUACUUACUGAGCAGUUACUAUAACAGCUACUAUAACUCAUUCAACAUGUAUUGAACUGAGAAUGUUCAAAUAUGUGACCUGAUCAGAGUCACAAAUAGUAUUUCAAUAGAAAUCGCCUGAUACGGGCGUUAAAGUAUUAUAGUUAAAGAAUAUAACCUCAAACAGCAUGAUGAGCAGUGUACUCCUGGUGAGCCAAGAUGUGAUCCGGGUGACACGUCUGAUUAAACUCCUAUUGAUUAUCAAGGCAUCGAUUAGAUAUAUCAGGUGGGCGUAGUAAUGCAUGGGAACAAAAGCCUGAACACACUGGGGAGCUGCAAGGUCAGGAUUGGAGUCCUCUGCUAUAGGAGAAGUAAUGUAGACAAAUAAAAGCCAAGAAAACCUCACCUAUGGUUUAAAAGCCGGUAGCCUGUGUCUAGAGCCGUCGAGCUCAAAUGAGUUACUAUGGAUUAUCAUUAGAAGGUGCUGGAAUGGGAGUAGAGAACAGUGGCAUGUUGCUGCUGCUUUGAUGAUAACACCCUUUGUAUUGAAUCUAUGGGGACCUCCGUCUGGCUUUUCAGUCUCUGAUUCACUGCAUCCUCCCACGCACCCCACUCUUCAUCUGGGUUCUUAUGAAGGCUCACUGUUUAUAGGAAAGACAAGCUAAAAAUCACUGUAAUUUAUCAAAUAUAUAUGUCGACAUUCAUAGAAUAUGAAAAGGAUUUGGGGAAAGCGGGCAGCCCAUGCUGUGUUGGAACUCAGGAAUCCUAAUGUGCGCCAGGAUCACUCUAGAACAGUGGACACCAACCUUUUCUGAGUCAAGAUCACUUUCUGAGUCAAAGUGCAAGCCGAGAUCUACCGCUCAGAUUUUUUUUUAAAUCAUGACUUAAACGUAAGCCCAUGAAACGUUAAGCAAUUAAAAACAAUUCUGUAGCAAUGAUGUUUGUGCAGUAGGCUAUAGUCCAAAUACAUUAGCAUUGCACAUUGCUAUGCUUGAAUUGCCCUGCCAAUGAUGUUCUUCUCAGACCGUUUUGAAAUGAUAUUUUACAACAUUUAUUUGCUGUAUUCCUAUUGAGGCACAGCUGAGCGACCAUAAUAAUUUGCUUUUUGUUGUUUACUAGAUGGAUGGCCUACAUCUGGUGGUCAGGCUGAGGGGAGGGAGCAGUGGUGAGGCUGCCUCUCACCCGACUCACCAUCCCUCCUCUCUCUCUCCCUCUCUCCUUGCUGAGAAAAGGGGACACAGUCUUCCAUCUGAUGGUGAAACUCGAGUCACGCCGCAUUACUUCUGCCUCA